rnacentral:rRNA from 2 species
UACGGAGGGUGCGAGCGUUGUUCGGAAUCACUGGGCGUAAAGCGCGCGUAGGCGGUCUGCUAAGUCUGAUGUGAAAGCCCGGGGCUCACCCCCGGAAGUGCAUUGGAAACUGACAGACUGGAGUCCCGGAGAGGAAGGUGGAAUUCCUGGUGUAGCGGUGAAAUGCGUAGAUAUCAGGAGGAACACCGGUGGCGAAGGCGGCCUUCUGGACGGUGACUGACGCUGAGGCGCGAAAGCGUGGGGAGCAAACAGG